rnacentral:rRNA from 1 species
AAUCUUCCGCAAUGGGCGCAAGCCUGACGGAGCAACGCCGCGUGAGUGAUGAAGGCCUUCGGGUUGUAAAACUCUGUCCAUGGGGAAGAAACAAAUGACGGUACCCGUGGAGGAAGCCCCGGAUAACUACGUGCCAGCAGCCGCGGUAAAACGUAGGGGGCAAGCGUUGUCCGGAAUUACUGGGCGUAAAGGGCGUGUAGGCGGCUAUUCAAGUCAAUAGUGAAACCCGACGGCUUAACCGUCGGCCUGCUAUCGAAACUGAUUAGCUUGAGUGCAGGAGAGGAGAGUGGAAUUCCCAGUGUAGCGGUGAAAUGCGUAGAUACUGGGAGGAACACCAGUGGCGAAGGCGGCUCUCUGGCCUGCAACUGACGCUGAGGCGCGAAAGCGUGGGUAGCGAAC